UACGUAGGGGGCAAGCGUUGUCCGGAUUUAUUGGGCGUAAAGAGCGUGUAGGCGGCUAUGCAGGUCCGCUGUGAAAACUCGAGGCUCAACCUCGAGACGUCGGUGGAAACCGCAUGGCUAGAGUCCGGAAGAGGAGAGUGGAAUUCCUAGUGUAGAGGUGAAAUUCGUAGAUAUUAGGAAGAACACCAGUGGCGAAGGCGGCUCACUGGUCCGGUACUGACGCUGAGGUGCGAAAGCGUGGGGAGCAAACAGG
rnacentral:rRNA from 1 species